GGCGGCGUAGCUCAGCUGGUUAGAGCACACGGUUCAUACCCGUGGUGUCGGGGGUUCGAGUCCCUCCGCCGCUACCA
rnacentral:tRNA from 1 species